rnacentral:rRNA from 1 species
CUAAGAAUAUUCCGCAAUGGACGAAAGUCUGACGGAGCGACGCCGCGUGGAUGAAGAAGGCCGAAAGGUUGUAAAAUCCUUUUGCUGAGGAAGAAUAAGUGUGGGAGGGAAUGCCCGCAUGAUGACAUGAAUCGGCGAAUAGGCCCCGGCCAACUACGUACCAGCAGCCGCGGUAACCCGUAGGGGGCGAGCGUUGUUCGGAAUUACUGGGCGUAAAGGGCGUGUAGGGGGUUAGGUAAGCCGGGCGUGAAAGUCCACAGCUUAACUGUGGGAUUGCGUUGGGAACUAGAUGACUAGAGUUACGGAGAGGGAGCUAGAAUUCCUGGUGUAGGGGUGGAAUCUGUAGAGAUCAGGAAGAAUACCGAUGGCGAAGGCAAGCUCCUGGCCGAUGACUGACGCUGAGGUGCGAAAGUGUGGGGAUCAAACA